rnacentral:lncRNA from 1 species
AGCCAUUGAAGAAAAAUUGUUCCCACCUUGAGGAGCCACCAGUGUUUGAACAGAAAUUAUGUGUUGACAGCUGUUGCAAGAGUGGUCGGUUGAAAUAAAUCGGAUGAAAUUUAACCUUUCCGACGUGUGUCCAUGAGAGGGCAGCACAGACCGGCCGAGCCUUCUCUAGAGUCCCUCGGAGCCACCGUGCUUCUAAGGACCACA